rnacentral:rRNA from 1 species
AUUGAACGCUGGCGGCAGGCCUAACACAUGCAAGUCGAACGGUAACAGGAAGCAGCUUGCUGCUUUGCUGACGAGUGGCGGACGGGUGAGUAAUGUCUGGGAAACUGCCCGAUGGAGGGGGAUAACUACUGGAAACGGUAGCUAAUACCGCAUAACGUCGCAAGACCAAAGAGGGGGACCUUAGGGCCUCUUGCCAUCGGAUGUGCCCAGAUAGGAUUAGCUAGUAGGUGGGGUAACGGCUCACCUAGGCGACGAUCCCUAGCUGGUCUGAGAGGAUGACCAGCCACACUGGAACUGAGACACGGUCCAGACUCCUACGGGAGGCAGCAGUGGGGAAUAUUGCACAAUGGGCGCAAGCCUGAUGCAGCCAUGCCGCGUGUAUGAAGAAGGCCUUCGGGUUGUAAAGUACUUUCAGCGGGGAGGAAGGGAGUAAAGUUAAUACCUUUGCUCAUUGACGUUACCCGCAGAAGAAGCACCGGCUAACUCCGUG